GUGCUAAGAAAGUUCGACAGUGAAAGAGACGUUUAAAAUAGCCUGUUGGAAACUGAAAAGUGUUACGUAUAGAUGGGCACACGGUUAUGCUAUUGACAUUUACAAAAAUCUCAAAAUUACACCGAUCAGUCAUGUGAAAUACUAUCAUGAAGAGAUAAAAUGAGAAUACGUACAUUUGGAGUAAAUGGUCUGAAAGUGAGUGUGCAGAGGAAGAAACGAGAAACUGCGAGCGAUGUGUGCUCAGUACACUGUGAAAUACGCAGGGGACGUUAGUAUGAUCGAUGAGAGUGUAACGACAUUCAGCAAGAUUUAAGGAAUAGAUAACAGAAAGUAGACAGAAUCUUCUACGCUACUUAAUUUACCAAACGAGAAACGGCGCAGAACAAUUAGCUUGGACGAUUCAUCUUACACAAACAACUUAAUUGCAUGCUCUUUGCCUGAACAUUGGAUCAUUGCAACAUCAGGGACCUCUUCAUGACUGCAACGUCGCCAUCCCCAUCAGGUUCCUUUUAACACACCACAGCGAUCGACAACCGACCGCAGUUGAAGGGUCUAACAUGAUCGAACUAUUGUCGAACUCGACGAUUUCAACGUCUCUUUCUUUUUUUCCAUAGUCCUUUUCUAUAUCCGAAACCUCAAUCGCUUAUUAAACAAGCAAGUAUGGUUGCAGUUCUAUCGUGUUUGGUGUCAUUUUAAUCAAAAAAACAUAACAAACGCGACGGUGAAAGUUUCAUUCACCAAAAGCCAAAAAUAAAGAAGUUUGGUUUUUGGAGUCAAAAAUCUCAAGCUCGUGGCGAGCCUUUAAUUUAGCCGAACGCUUCGACUCUCAGUCUUUCUUUUUCCUUCACUCGCGUUGUCCUUUUCUACGACCACCAUGCUAAAAUCUCCGUUUCUUGGGAUUGAAUCGAUUCUACCUCUUCAUAAUUGCAACCUUCCAGUCCUGUUGAGUGUGCAAUUAUCCAAUGUCUACUGUAUUCCAACAUUGCAUCGCCUAAGCGCGUGUUGCCCACAAAAUAUAUAAAAUGAGUAAUACAUUAAUGGAUUAAACGCUAGAUAGUUUGAGUGUUAACACUAAAACUACUACACAGGUUGAAAUGAUACAUUCCUGAUUUCUUAUUUCUGCAAUAAAAAAAUAACAGACGAUUCUUUGAUAAACAACUAAAGAAAUAGCAACACGCAAACUGGAUUGUAAAUCAAUAAAAAUCCCAAUAGAUGCACUCUUCGAGUUUCUGUAGAAUAACUUCAGAAUGUCAAUUUGACUACACUGACUAGGUUUAAUAUCAAUGAAAUCGAGUCAUCAUAAUUACCCACAGGGCUAUCGCGCUCGGAAUUAUGUACUUUAAGCUUUUAAAAAUUCGAACGUGGACACUUACACAGGCAUUGGCUCCUCUUUCCUAGGCAUGUUCGCGAUGGACGUCAUAUUCUUUGGCCUUGCAAUGCUAAUCUGGAACCGAGCUUUCAAAGCCGGCUCGUCGAAGCAAGGAAAAGCACGUCGUGCGUCCGUCGCCUGAAAUUGAGUAGUAGCGAUCCAUCUGUAAUACAAAACCGAGGGGAACUUAGCAAACAGACACUGGUGAAGCCCUAUUUGUACUUCCAGGAUGGACUCGGUUUAAACUCAUCCCUUGCUGCUGUUAUCAUAGACGAGAAUCACGAGACAUUCGUUCAUUCAACACAGAUGCACGGGGAGAUAAUGUCGGAUACAGUAAGACCUCGCUUAACACUACUCCGUUUAGCCCUUGCAUUGACAACCGAAAUGUCUGUAUUUAUUCAAGUUUUAAAAUUAUAUUUUUACAUAAAUUCCUUAUUUUCGAAGCAUUUUGUCGAAUUUUUACGAGGACAAAACGAAAUUAUAUAAAGGAUACUUAAAAAAUGGGUACUCGAUUAUGAAUUGCCCGGUUUUCUCGAAUUUUACAUUUUUCAUUAAUCCACUUUAAUGUGGUUUUUCAAAUAAUGGAAUACUUUUCAUCCGCUGUUUCAUAUAUUAACAAAAUAUCAUCAUUAUGAAGACUAAGUAACCCAAAAAAGUUAUUAGUAGUAAACUAACAUAUCGCAUUUAACGAAACGUGAUAAUUAUGAAUACUGAGUAACCAAAACAUGUAUACUAGUAGCAAAAUAAUACAUUGAUAUGAAUAAAAUAUCAUCGUUAUGAAGGCUAAGUAAUCAAAACAAACUAUUGUAAUAAGUGGUAGCAAACGUGAUAAUAUCUAUAAAUCAAGCUCUCGAAGAAUUAUGCAAUAGUAGAAAUGCAUAAAAUAAAAUUCCUGGGGGUAUUUACCUUUUCUGACCGUCAACAGUGUAAGAACUCCUGUAGAAGCCCUGCAGGUAAUCGUUCAAAUAACCGACAAACUUGAAAUGCACGAGGUACUGCUUUCCCGCUUUCAACGUGUCUGAAGUUUUAAUCACGUGAAACUGCCGUUCAGUGUCGUUUCUCUGCUCGACUAUUCGGAUCGCUUUGGUCGAGUUGCUCGUGAGCAAAUGCUCUCUGAUAUUUGUGAAACUUUCAUCGAUAUCCAUACUGACUGCGUGCAGCGUAACAUUUUUCGUGUCCUCGGUCACGUUCACGAGAAUCUUCACCUGAAAAUAGAUGCGUAUUUUUCUGAAUCAGUUCGAAUCGAAGGAAAGAAUUCGAGAGAGUACUUUAAUUAUCGCAAUUUUAAUGAUUUCGUUGGGUAUUAUAUACCUAUUAAACAGUUUUUUGUUUUAUUUGAACAAAACUGUCAGAUUGAGCUGCCUAUACUACCAAACAAAAAGUUUGGAUUACUUAUUCAAUUGAUAGAAAACUUGAGUUAUUUAUUGGAAGAAUUAUUAAACAUACUAAGUUACAUAUAUCAAACAUAUUUUCAAUUAACACUUGCAAUUAUAGAAAAAUGAUACAUUUAAGUACAAUUACUUUUAUAUAAUAAACUCCUUAUGAAAAAAACUAUAAUAGUUUGAACGAUAUAAUUAUUAUUUCUUUCAUUAUUCUUAUUAUUACAAUUGUGAUUAAUUACUUAGAUAAGACAGAAGAAAACCAUUACCAUAAACUUAUAUAUAGAUAUCACAAUUAAACUCUUCUGAAAUUAACUAAUAAUAAUAAUUAGAUACUGAUAAUUAUCGUAAUAUUAGGAAUUAUUAUUAUUACAAUAAUUAUUAAAACGUAGUCGUAUAUAUUAGUUUCGUUUAUUAUAGACUUCCAAUUUAAAAGUAGGAACAAUGUUUCUCUAUCACGAAAUCCGAAACAAAAUCCGUCGAUACACUUUUCGCACUAGUUUUUAACCCGCUUCUCUUUCCGUUUACUUUUUUCUUGUUCUACAUAAAAACAAGGAACGGAACAUCGCGCCGUUUAAAACUUUCUAACUACAAUCGCUUACUGGACAAGUUCGUGUACUUUCACCUUUUCAGAGGGAUCGACACUGGUCGUCAUAUUUUUUACUAUAUUUUUUUUCACAGAACUUUCAAUAAAAUUGUAAAAAGUAUCUCCUCAUCAGACAGGAUCGUAUAUUUUCAACACUAGAUUUACGAGCAUUUACUGUGCAAUUUGCUCUAUCGUUCUUAGAAAACCUGAUACUCAUUCAUUUAGAUCUUUGAAAUUAAAGGUUUAACCGGUUAAUUGUGGAAGUUAGUUUGAAAAAUCUCUCGUUGUGCUCGCAAUAAAACCAAAUAAUGAAGUGUAUACUGGCCAAACGCAGAACAAGUGCAUCUAUAAUAUAUUCUAACGAAAAACUAAAGCAAAACGAAGAAGAAUUACACCUUUAUCUAAAAAAGUAAAUAAUUCAUCGUUGAGAAAAUUAGUACCAUUCUGCAUUUUAAGAUGACGUGUAUCUCUGACAUGUUAAUUGGUUAAAAGCAAACAAUUUGGGGUAUAUAUUUGCGUAGCUGCAUCGAUCAAAAUUGACCCAAACAUUUAUCCAAUAAUAUUUAUAAAGUUCAAGUAAAUCUAAUGUUAAGCAAGUUUCUGUUUCAAGCAUUUACCAAGUAGCGAAACAC